rnacentral:tRNA from 1 species
AUUUAAGUAGCUUAUUUUAGAGUAUAAUAUUGAAGCUGUUAUUGAGGUUUAUUUAACCCUUAAAUA